AAGACGCUCACCUUUGAUGAGCUUCGCGUCGAUGAGGUGAACCGCGCCACAACGGUGCACAGUUACACGGGUGGCAAGGGCACCAACUUCUGCCGCGCCUCUGCGUGCUACAAGGAAUGCCCGCACUUCUGCAGGACUGUAUUGCACACAUUUGUCGGUGGCAAGACAGGUGAGCGUGUGAUCGACCUGCUCCAUCAGGAGGGUAUCGCGGUUUAUGCUGUUACUGUGCCGGCAGAGACACGAACCUGCAUCACCUGCCUCGACACCCAGAACAGCACAAUGACGGAGCUGAUCGAGCCCUCGGCGGCUGUACCGGAAGAUGCUGCAAAGGAAAUGGACAGAGCACUCCUCAAGGCGCUCGAGCAUGCGGGUGGCAUGGCGAUCAUGGGCAGCUUGCCAGACGGCAGCAGCCCCGACCUCUACACCCGCUGGACGGAGAUGGCGGCGGCGGCGCAGAAGCCUGUUCUCAUCGACGCCGGCAAAGGGAUCGAGGCUUCGCUGAAGGUGCCAGGCGCCCACUCGAUCCUGAAAGUGAACAUGGAGGAGCUGAACAAGCUCACGGGUCAGUCCACACCGGAGAGUGCGUUCGAGUACGCUAUGCAAAUGUGGACAGUGCGUGUGCUGGCCGUCACCGAUGGCCCUCGCUCUGCGUAUAUCCAAGAGCGGGGCCGGCCUCUUCAAGUUAUCCACCUACCAAAAGUGGACGGCGUGGUGAGCCCGCUCGGGGCCGGCGACACGGCCGAUGCCGUUUUUCUCGCCGAGUACAUUCACGGCACAACCCCGGUAGAAGCGUUCCGGUUGGCCCUGGCUGCGGCGUCCGCCAACUGCCUUCAAAAGGAGGCCGCCGUCUUUGCGCAACAUGAGAUGAGGCGUAUCGCCGACGGCAUCACGAUCAGGUGAUCGCGCCCACACAGCUCGUCCACACGCGCAUGAUGGUGCCCCGCACAUGCCCACACCGCAGUCCCCCCCCCCCCCCCCAAAGUAAGGAGAACAAAAAGCUACACCCACGAGGAGAGCGCGGUUUGGGAAGAGGAGCAACACCCACAACGCAACGCCAGCGUCUCCUUCUACUCCUCCAGCUCUCUCUCUGUUUCGCGUGCUCUUCUUUGUUGCUUCUCCUCACCCAUCCGGCGCACUGCAUGCGCCCAUCCUUCCGCCUUGGUAGAUUGUGAUCCUCCAAUCCUCUCGCAC
rnacentral:misc_RNA from 1 species